rnacentral:rRNA from 1 species
CCUACCGGGAGGCAGCAGCUAAGAAUCUUCCGCAAUGGGCGAAAGCCUGACGGAGCGACGCCGCGUGAACGAAGAAGGCCGUGAGGUUGUAAAGUUCUUUUCGGGAGGGGGAAUUACCGUGGCAGGGAAUGGCCGCGGGAUGACGUGAAUCCCGGAACAAGCCCCGGCUAACUACGUGCCAGCAGCCGCGGUAACACGUAGGGGGCGAGCGUUGUUCGGAAUCAUUGGGCGUAAAGGGCGUGCAGGCGGCACUGCAAGUCCGGCGUGAAAGACCCCGGCCCAACCGGGGGGGUGCGCUGGAAACUGCGGUGCUUGAGUACAGGAGGGGAUGCCGGAAUUCCAGGUGUAGGGGUGAAAUCUGUAGAUAUCUGGAAGAACACCGAUGGCGAAGGCAGGCAUCUGGCCAUGUACUGACGCUGAGACGCGAAGGUGCGGGGAGCAAACAGGUUUAGAUACCCUGGUAGUCCGCACAGUAAACGAUGUGCACCAGGUGGCGGGGGUAGAACCCCCGGUACCGUAGCAAACGCAUUAAGUGCACCGCCUGGGGAGUAUGCUCGCAAGGG